GGUAUUUUUUUGGGGGGGUGAUGAUAGAGAGGUUUUAUCGGUCGUUCUUAACCUGUUUAAUGCGAUCAGGGGGAAAUGGGGUGGGGGGGGGAACCAGCUCCAGCCUUCCUUGCCUUUGAUUUUGACAAAGCCUGUUUGUUUUACUUAAGGCUCCUUUACUGCACCCUCGUUGCCAUGGGGACGGCAGAAGGGCAGCUGCGCCUUUUCGAACACCACCUGGGUGACUCAGGAGGAGAAAGGGAAGAGCCCGGAGCCCAGCCUCAUGGACGUUGAAGCAGAGGUGUGCAGAUUCCUGAAACCUGGUAAAAACCCAUCCUUGAAGAUCUCCAGCCAUUUCACAAACCUUCGGGCAAAAUUGGGAAUAAAUGCACUCAUCCGAAAUGGAUUAUUUAUUGCCUCUUUUUUUUGCCACACAAAAAAUUUCGCGUGUCAAAACCUGCUGUUCGUGCCGACUUCAUUUUAGUGAAACCAAGGCACUUCCCCGUUUCUUCCUUUGAAAGUCGCACAUUUCGUGGUAUCGAAAUUUGUCACCAUUUCCGAAACAAAUCUUUGUGUGAAAAGUCUAAAGCAAAUUGGUAAGGGGGGUGUUUUCAGGGAAGGGGCGGAUAUGGAAAAGAUCCUCUUUUCAGGAAGAUGGGCUUGCAAGAGCUGAAAGAUAGCAAGAGUGGCAAUUUUCCAGUGUUUGCUAACUUUGCUGGGCUAGUCCCUCCUGCACUGCCCUUUUGGGAGAAAAUGCCUGGAAAGAAAGUAGGAAGUGACAUGAACAUUGCAUGCAAGGGCUUGCCAUAUGGAUGAAGGGCGCAGGCAUUGGUAUUUGAAUGAAAGUAUGUCAUACGUAGAGAUGAAGUUUGAUGGUUCGCUUAGCUGGUAUGUUUAGUGGCCGAACAAGUGUUCGGGGCUUUCAAAGUAUGUCAUACGUAGAGAUGAGGUUUGAUGGUUCGCGCUGGUUUGCUUAGUGGCCGAACAAGUGUUCGGGGCUUUCCAGCCCCACUUCCUUUGCUGUGCGCCCGCUCAGAGGUGGCAUCCAGGGUUCCCUGCCCAACCUCCUCCAGGUGCCGCCUCUGAGUGGGUGCCCGUCAGAGACAGAGGGGCUGGGAAGCGCCAAACACCUGUUCGGCUGGAAAACAGACUAGCAUGAACCGCCAAAAUGGCUCUUCAUAUAACAUGGCAGACAUUAAUCAUUUAAUACCCCCAAAUUACCCAUUUUUGAAUCUGAAAUAACAUUUCUGUCUAUUUCCUUCCUUCCUUCCUUCCUCCCUUCCUCCCUUCCUUCCUUCCUCCCUUCCCUUCCCUUCCCUUCCCUUACCUUACCUUCCCUUCCUUUGCCUUC
rnacentral:lncRNA from 1 species